rnacentral:rRNA from 1 species
GGGCCCGCACAAGCGGUGGAGCAUGUGGUUUAAUUCGAUGAUACGCGAGGAACCUUACCAGGGCUUAAAUGUAGUGGGACAGGUCUAGAGAUAGACCCUUCUUCGGACUCAUUACAAGGUGCUGCAUGGUUGUCGUCAGCUCGUGCCGUGAGGUGUCAGGUUAAGUCCUAUAACGAGCGCAACCCCUAUCGUUAGUUGCCAGCGGGUAAUGCCGGGAACUCUAGCGAAACUGCCGGUGCAAACCGUGAGGAAGGUGGGGAUGACGUCAAAUCAUCACGGCCCUUACGUCCUGGGCCACACACGUGCUACAAUGGCCGGUACAGAGAGCAGCCACUACGCGAGUAGGAGCGAAUCUAUAAAACCGGUCUCAGUUCGGAUCGCAGUCUGCAACUCGACUGCGUGAAGCUGGAAUCGCUAGUAAUCG